UACGUAGGGGGCAAGCGUUGUCCGGAUUUACUGGGCGUAAAGAGCUCGUAGGUGGUUUGUCGCGUUGUUCGUGAAAACUCACAACUCAAUUGUGGGCGUGCGGGCGAGUACGGGCAGACUGGAGUACUGCAGGGGAGGACUGGAAUUCCUGGCGUAGCGGUGGAAUGCGCAGAUAUCAGGAGGAACACCGGUGGCGAAGGCGGGUCUCUGGGCAGUAACUGACGCUGAGGAGCGAAAGCGUGGGGAGCGAACAGG
rnacentral:rRNA from 1 species